rnacentral:ncRNA from 1 species
AAGGCCUGAUGUGUGUGAGAUUACCCGCUGAAUUUAAGCAUAUAAGUAAGCGGAGGAAAAGAAACUAACUAGGAUUCCCUUAGUAAUGGCGAAUGAACAGGGAUCAGCUCAGUGCCAAAUCGGAAUCACUUGUGGUUCUGAAAUGUGGCUUGAAGGCAGUACCAGUGGCAUCGCGGACGAAAGUCUCUUGGAAAAGAGCGUCAUAGAGGGUGAGAAUCCUCGUGAGUCGUUCGCCGUUUGUCACGUACGGUCUGCGUUCUACGAGUCGCGUUCCUUGUGAUUGGAGCGUAAACGGGUGGUAAAUUUCAUCCAAAGCAAAAUAUAUACUCGAGACGAUAGCACAAAAGUAC